rnacentral:rRNA from 1 species
CGAACGCUGGCGGCGUGCUUAACACAUGCAAGUCGAACGGAAAGGCCCUGCUUUUGUGGGGUGCUCGAGUGGCGAACGGGUGAGUAACACGUGAGUAACCUGCCCUUGACUUUGGGAUAACUUCAGGAAACUGGGGCUAAUACCGGAUAGGAGCUCCUGCUGCAUGGUGGAGGUUGGAAAGUUUCGGCGGUUGGGGAUGGACUCGCGGCUUAUCAGCUUGUUGGUGGGGUAGUGGCUUACCAAGGCUUUGACGGGUAGCCGGCCUGAGAGGGUGACCGGCCACAUUGGGACUGAGAUACGGCCCAGACUCCUACGGGAGGCAGCAGUGGGGAAUAUUGCACAAUGGGCGGAAGCCUGAUGCAGCAACGCCGCGUGCGGGAUGACGGCCUUCGGGUUGUAAACCGCUUUCGCCUGUGACGAAGCGUGAGUGACGGUAAUGGGUAAAGAAGCACCGGCUAACUACGUG